GCCACCAUGAAGGUGGAAGCGGGAGACAACUCUAUGAUCAACCUGUCAGUGCAGCAAGUGCUGAGUCUCUGGGCUCACGGCACCGUCCUCCGCAACCUCACCGAUGUAAGGAAAAACCUGAACUUCCACCUUUGAAUAAACAGGAUUUUGGUGUCAACAGCAGAGAUGAGAUGUGGUACUGGGUUUUCCUCUGGGCUCUCUUCUCCUCUCUCUUUGUCCAUGGUGCUGUGGGAGUACUAAUGUUUGUGAUGCUGCAGAGGCAUAGGCAGGGGAGGCUGAUUUCUGUCAUUGUGGUCAGCAUUGGAUUUCUGGGUUCUGUAACUGGAGCAAUGAUAACCAGUGCUGCAGUAGCUGGAAUUUACAGAGUAGCAGGAAAGAAUAUGGCUCCCCUAGAAGCUCUUGUCUUUGGUGUUGGACAGACAGUACUGACUCUAAUUAUCUCAUUUUCAAGAAUUCUUGCAACACUUUGAGACUUAUGUAGAAGGGGGAUAAAAAACGACUAGCUUAAAGAAAUCUUUUCUCUGAGAAGAAGCUUCCCAAGAGUGGAUUCAUCGGCUAUGAACUGGAAUUCUAGUGCAAGAGGAAGGAAGGCUACAAAGAUAUCUUGUGUGUGAAUGGCACUGAUGGUACUUUGGUCGCCUUUGGACAAUACAGUGUUGUGCAGAUGUCCACACAGGAUCUUUUAGCACUGCCUUCAAAUAGCUCUGCCUGUCUCUUCAUUCUAUCACUAGGCACGUUCUACACUGUUAACUGUGGAUUUCUGGUGAAGAACAGAUACUACAUCAACACAACUAGGCCUUUGGAGGAGGAAGGAGUACUGAAUAUAAGAUUUAAUGUAAAGAAGCUUUCAUUUCUUUGUUAGAAAGAGUUCCACACUCUUACCAUUUAAUGGAGCGAGCACAGAAGUGUACAAUACCAGAUUGGAAGGACUGGCAGAAUCACAGAAACAUUCCGGUUGGAAAGGACUCUCAGGAUCACCAAGUCCAACUGAUAACCCCACUGUACAAGGUUCACCCUCAACCAUAUCCCCAAGCACCAUGUCCAAACAACCUUUAAAUCAUCCAGGGUUGGUGACUCAACUUCCACUGCCACUCUGGUCAAGCCACAGCUAGAAUCCUGUGCUCAGUUUUGGUCCCUGCUGUACAAGAGAGAUGCUGACAGGCUUGAGAGGGGUCAGAGAAGGGCCACGAAAAUGGUGGAGGAUCUACAAAGCUGCUGCAUAGGGAAAGGCUGGAACAGCUGGGUUUGCUCAGCGUUGAAAGAAGUCUCAGGGAAGACCUUAUCAGCAUGUUGCAGCAUUUAAAGGCAGGGUCUAUGAUGAAGGUGGAAGCUCCCUUUUUAUAAGGAGUCACAAGGAAAAGAUAAGGGAUAAUUGGUACAAGUUAAUGCUAUGGAGAUUCUGAUGCAACACAAGAAACUACCUUCACAAUGAGAAUCAUGAGUUAUUGUAAUAACCUCCCCCAGAAAAAAAAUCCCCAAUAUUGGGCACUUUGAAGAUUGAGUUGGGCCAUCUCCUCUGGACCAUACAUGGAGAAUAAAUCUUAUGAAGAGCUACUGAAGGAGCUAGGGCUGUUUAGUUUCAAAAAGAGGAGACCUCAUCACUGUCUGCAGCUACCUGAAAGGAUGCCAUGGGGAGUUUGGUGCUGGUCUCUUCUCACAGGUAAUUAAUGAUAGAACAAAAGGGAAUGGCCUCAAAUCGUGACUGGGUGGGUUUAGAAUGGACAUGAGGAAAUUUUUUUUCCACAGCAAGAGUGGUCAGGCAUUGGAAUGGGCAGGUCUUGAAUAUCUCCAGAGAGGGAGACUCCACAACCCCCCUGGGCAGCCUGUUCCAGUGUUCUGUCACCAUCAUAGGGAAAAAAUCUUCCUCCAGUUUCCAUGGAACUUCCUAUGCCUCAACUUCCACCCAUUGCCCCUCUGUUUGUCAUUGGGCAUCACCAAGCAGAGCCUGGCUCCAUCAUCUUGGCACUCACCCUUUACAUAUUUAUAAACAUGAAUGAGGUCACCUUUCAGUUUCCUCCUCUCCAAGCAGCAAAGCCUCAGGCCCCUCAGUCUUUCCUCACAAGGAAGAUGUUCCACUCCUUUAAUCAUCUUUGUGGCUCUGCGCUGGACUCUUUCAAGCAGUUCCAUGAGGUCCUUCUUGAACUGAGGGACCCAGAAGUGGAGACAGUACUCCAGAUGUGGCCUCACCAGGACAGAGUAGAGGGGGAGGAGAAUCUUCCUUGACCUACUAAACAUAGCCCUUCUAAUACACCCCAGGAUUGCAUUAGCCUUCGUGGCCACAAGAGCACAUUGCUACUUCUGUGAAUGGAGAAAAGCUGCCAGCUAGAAGACAAAUUAAGUACUGCAGAGAUAUAUUCAAUGCAAUUAAUAAUACUUGAUUGAUAUAGAUGGCAUUCAUUUUGACAGCUACCUUUCAAAGUUUCAUUAAGGUAUGUAAUAUCACCACGGUAGAAUCUGUUUCUGGGCUAUCCAUCAAUAUAAAGUGUCCUGAUGAGGUCAUCAGAGCUAAAAAUCUGACACCUUUUAAAUUUACUUCACUGGAAGUUUUUAACUGCUUGAAAUGUGCUAAACAUCUAUACCGCUAACAGGUUUGAGGGAGUGGUUGGGUGAUGAGGUACAUAACUAAACUUUUGACUGUGGUAGUGGAUAAGAAUGCAGUAAGAAUUCAGAAAUGCUUACAGAAACCAUUCUAGGUAGAUCACAGCAUCACACAGAAUUGCAGAAUGUUAGAGGUUGGAAGGGACCUCCAGAGAUCAUUGAGUCCACUGCCCCUACUCUAGAGUAGUUCACACAGGAACACGUCCAGGCAGGUCUUGGAUAUCUCCAGAGAAGGAGGCUCCACAACCCCCCUGAGCAGCCUGUUCCAGUGCUCUGUCACCCUCUCUGUGAAGAAGUUUCUCCUCAAGCUGAGGUGAAACCUUCUGUGUUCCAGUUUGUAGCCAUUACUGCUUGUCUUCUGUAAAUUUGUACUGGAAAGAAAUAUCCUUUCCAUUUAAGUUCCCUAAGCUGAAGGAUUGUGACCUGGAGGUUAUGACGUUCAAAGAUAUAGCAAGAGCCGCAAUGGCAGAGAGUGUUUUAACAUACAAUUGAUUUCUGCUUUGUACAGCACUAUAUUGCACUGUGGGGAAGUUAUGGUCUUUGGGUUGGUGUACUGCAUGUCCUCGUAACAGAAGAGCUCCAACUAAAGCAAACAAGGGCUGUAAAUACUGUAUAGUCUUAUCUAUCUUGUUGGGGUUUUUUAACAACUUUUUUUAUUUCCCUGUUUGUGUACAGUUCUCUCUUUUUAAUGUAUAAAACCCCACAGCAUUUGGAGAAACUUUUGUAGUUGAUGUCACAUUUUGCUUGCUGGUUUAGUUCCCAGUUCUCACUGUUUGCUUUCAGGUUCUUCGAAAAGCAGCAAUAACAGCUGGACAGCUUAAAGCAAAACAUUUUUCUGCACAAUUUCCACCUGAGUGCUCUAGAACAGAGGCAGAGUGGAACAUUUGUCCCAGCUGUAAGGUUUCAAGAGUCUUUCAAGUAGUUUUUACCUGACUUUAUGGUAGGAAAUGUUUUGUAGUAGCUUGUUUACAGUUUCCAAGUCAAACACAGUCUCUCAUCAUUUGUGUGAUUGAAAAGUUUUCUGUUGAAGUAUUUUCAUGUAUCAUAUUGCAUGUUCUAAGUAACCACAAAGCCUUGCAUCAACCUCAGUGUGAAAUACUCCAAUAAGAAGUUUUCCCUUUUGUGAGCCUGAUGGAAAUUUGCAAAUGUACACAUGAAAUAAAGCUACCAUUCAUCAUUAGUGGCA